AGGGGCAAGGAUUGGGGUGCGCUUUCAGCUACAUGUUGGGAUAGAGCAAGAACACUCCAUGUAUAAUUGAUGGUGCCUUUUGUUUUGCACAUGCCAGCAAUUAGGAUAUCAUGGUUAGUCGACCCAGUUUCAUCCUAGGUAUGACCGAAUAUUACCGCGUGGAGAGCCGCUGACAUGUUUGCUUUUGUACUUUGUUUGUUGCCCCCUAUCCGGAGGAAGAUGGGUAACAGAACUUGAUUUGAUUGAUGAAAUGCCAAUGAUGGUGUUGUAGAAAUAUGAUGUCAGUGUUCACCAUUCCUGUUCCUGGGCAAUUAUGUUCUAAGGUGAUUG